rnacentral:lncRNA from 1 species
UUUUUUUUUUUCUUUUUUUAACAGCCAGCAAGCCUGGCUUUCUGGUCCUUCACAAAGACCUUCAACUUACCCACUGUCUCAAGAUCAUCAGCGGGAAAGGGUCCAGAUGCAGAAGGUAAAGGGUCACAGCUUAUCUGUAAAGAGUCAGCCCCCUCAUUUUUCCAAAACAUUAGCAUCACCAAGUAGUGGAAUUUUAGUACCAACUGAGAAGCCAGGGUUGAAGUAACUAAAAUCUAUUAAACAUAAAAAUAAACAACAUAUUUAACUGCUCCCUCUGGGCAGCAGGACUGAGGAUAGGGAGGGGAUGGGGCAGUGAUUUUUAAGUGAACACUUCUGUGUGGUUUGAUCAUUUUUAACCAGGUCUGAAAGGAAAGGAAAGAUGUCAAAUGGAUAAAAGAAAGUUGUUAGAUCAUUAUGACAAUGGACUGGAAUUAUAAUUACUCAAAGAAAGCUACUCUUGGGUCUGAAAGUGAUUCAAGGACUUAUUAUCUAAGAGUGGCUAAGUUAUAGGUUAUGCCUGAAAUUGUCAACGGGGAAAGCACAUUUCCCCUCUCUUGGCACCCCUUUGAUUUCAGCUCUCUCAAUACAACGGCAAUACAAUGCAUUCUCAAUACAAUGGCACUUAUAAAAAGAGCACUGAGAAAGAAUUACUUAGUAUUGAUCUCUGCUUGUUUAGCAGAACUAGGAUUUAGACAAGUCUGAAUCUAGGAAUAGCCUUGUUUCCUGAGAUAGAGUUAAGCAAGCUCUUUUAUUUCCAUAAAGUUUUUGGAGUUCCCAUUGUGGCUUAGUGGUAAUGAACCCAACCAGUAUCCAUGAGGACACAGGUUUGAUCCUUGGUCCCGCUCAGUGGGUUAAGGAUCCAGCAUUGCCCCAUGAGCUCAGAUUUGGCAUUGCUAUGGCUGUGGAGUAGCCCAGCAGCUGAAGCUCCAAUUCUCCUCCUAGCCUGGGAAUUUCCAUAUGCUGCAGGUGUGAACCUAAAAAGAAAAAAAAAAAAAAAAGGAAAGUAUUUAUUCACUUCUUGUAGUUCGAUUUUGAUAAUGCUGCAACACUACUCCAAACCUCUUCCUAUUUUGGAGGUGUGAGUCAGUUGUGAAAAAACCAUCCUGGUGGAUUUGCAAAGAAGGACCUGGCUUAAAGCUUAAAUCCAUCAUCCUGCCCAUAAAGAAGAUAUAAAAGGGUCAGAGUAAAGUUUGGAAGGGGUUGGAUGAUUUCUUUAGAGAGUCCUGCUAACCCUCCAACCAGAGAUGGUAGGUGUGAGAGGCCUACCUCUCUAACUUCAAGCUUAACAAGGGGCCUCCAAAAAAGCACCCUAAGAGCUUACAGUUCAGUUGUCCCAAUGGAUCGCUGACUUCCACCUGGGAAAUGUGGAGAACAGCAGAGUCUUCCUCACUAGCUGAUUCUUUUUCUUGCAGUCUUUCAGAGGUUCUUCCUGCAGUGCCUUUCCUCCAGCAAGCCCCCGAUUACAAACCCCCUGGCAACCUCCCCUCCUAACAGUUCAGCUCUAGGCUCUCUGCUGAGGUCUCCUCACCUCUGAGAAAGACCCUUAAGGAAAGUUCUUUUCCAAGAGCUAACCACCAUGCCAGCUCCCUACCGCAGACCCACUUGGCACAGAGGAAAUUCCUCUCAUUAUGUGAGAAAAACUGUUCUCUCAUUAUAACUACAAUUUGUUCAUAACCUUAUUCAACCCAGGGAAGGAAACUGCAUUUGUCCCACUUGCAAGGCUUUUAAUUAACAUCUUGGCCACCAGCCAUAAAUAACAAUUCAAAGACAGGAUAUCGGUACUUCCACUACAAAGAGACCAAAACACACACACACACACACACACACACUUUAGAUUUCUGGUUUGCAGUCGAGGCUGCAAAAUAUUCC